rnacentral:rRNA from 1 species
GCGGUAUUCCUGACCGUGCAAAGGUAGCGUGAUAAGUCGCCCUUUAAUUGUGGGCUUGUAUGAAAGGACAAACGAAAGCUAGACUGUCUCUUAACAAAACAUUGAAACUGUUAUUCAGGUGAAGAAACCUGAAUAAAAUCAAAGGACAAGAAGACCCCGUAGAGCUUAAUAUUAUAUAAAUUAACAAAAAUAAAUAAUAUCUUUAUAAUAUUUUUCUCUAUUUAUAAAUAUUUAGCUGGGGCGGCUAAGGAAAAUAAAUCUUCCAUUUAACUAUUCUAUUUUCUGAUACCUCAUCUUUCCCUAAAUGACCCUUUCUAAGAUCAGAGAAUAAAGCUACCUCGGGGAUAACAGAUUAAUUCUUCUUGAGAGUUCGCAUUGACAGAAGAGAUUGACACCUCGAUGUUGGCUUAGGGUAUCCUAUAGAUCUGCAGCAGUCUAUAAAGGUAGGUUUGUUCAACCUUUAAAACCCUACAUGAUCUGAGU